AUUGAACGCUGGCGGCAUGCUUUACACAUGCAAGUCGAACGGCAGCGCGGGCUUCGUCCUGGCGGCGCGUGGCGAACGGGUGAGUAAUGCAUCGGAACGUGCCCAGUAGUGGGGGAUAGCCCGGCGAAAGCCGGAUUAAUACCGCAUACGACCUGAGGGUGAAAGCGGGGGACCGAAAGGCCUCGCGCUAUUUGAGCGGCCGAUGUCGGAUUAGCUAGUUGGUGGGGUAAAGGCUUACCAAGGCGACGAUCCGUAGCUGGUCUGAGAGGACGACCAGCCACACUGGGACUGAGACACGGCCCAGACUCCUACGGGAGGCAGCAGUGGGGAAUUUUGGACAAUGGGGGCAACCCUGAUCCAGCCAUGCCGCGUGCGGGAAGAAGGCCUUCGGGUUGUAAACCGCUUUUGUUCGGGAAGAAAUCCUCUGGGCUAAUACCCCGGGGGGAUGACGGUACCGGAAGAAUAAGCACCGGCUAACUACGUG
rnacentral:rRNA from 1 species